rnacentral:tRNA from 1 species
GCAGUCGUGGCCUACUGGUUAGGGCUUCAGGUUUGUGACCAGAGGGUUGCCGGUUUGAACCCCCCGACCA